UGGGGAAUAUUGCACAAUGGGCGCAAGCCUGAUGCAGCCAUGCCGCGUGUGUGAAGAAGGCCUUCGGGUUGUAAAGCACUUUCAGCGAGGAGGAAGGGUAGUGUGUUAAUAGCACAUUGCAUUGACGUUACUCGCAGAAGAAGCACCGGCUAACUCCGUGCCAGCAGCCGCGGUAAUACGGAGGGUGCAAGCGUUAAUCGGAAUUACUGGGCGUAAAGCGCACGCAGGCGGUUUGUUAAGUCAGAUGUGACAUCCCCGCGCUUAACGUGGGGACUGCAUUUGAAACUGGCAAGCUAGAGUCUUGUAGAGGGGGGUAGAAUUCCAGGUGUAGCGGUGAAAUGCGUAGAGAUCUGGAGGAAUACCGGUGGCGAAGGCGGCCCCCUGGACAAAGACUGACGCUCAGGUGCGAAAGCGUGGGGAGCAAACA
rnacentral:rRNA from 1 species